rnacentral:rRNA from 1 species
UGAACGCUGGCGGCGUGCCUAAUACAUGCAAGUCGAGCGAACGGACGAGAAGCUUGCUUCUCUGAUGUUAGCGGCGGACGGGUGAGUAACACGUGGAUAACCUACCUAUAAGACUGGGAUAACUUCGGGAAACCGGAGCUAAUACCGGAUAAUAUUUUGAACCGCAUGGUUCAAAAGUGAAAGACGGUCUUGCUGUCACUUAUAGAUGGAUCCGCGCUGCAUUAGCUAGUUGGUAAGGUAACGGCUUACCAAGGCAACGAUGCAUAGCCGACCUGAGAGGGUGAUCGGCCACACUGGAACUGAGACACGGUCCAGACUCCUACGGGAGGCAGCAGUAGGGAAUCUUCCGCAAUGGGCGAAAGCCUGACGGAGCAACGCCGCGUGAGUGAUGAAGGUCUUCGGAUCGUAAAACUCUGUUAUUAGGUAAGAACAUAUGUGUAAGUAACUGUGCACAUCUUGACGGUACCUAAUCAGAAAGCCACGGCUAACUACGU